rnacentral:rRNA from 1 species
UACGUAGGGUGCGAGCGUUGUCCGGCAUUAUUGGGCGUAAAGCGCGUGUAGGCGGCUUUGCAAGUCGGGUGUGAAAUCCCCAGGCUUAACCUGGGAACUGCAUUCGAGACUGCAUUGCUAGAGUAUGGGAGAGGGAAGUGGAAUUUCCGGUGUAGCGGUGAAAUGCGUAGAUAUCGGAAGGAACAUCAGUGGCGAAAGCGACUUCCUGGACCAAUACUGACGCUCAUGUGCGAAAGCGUGGGGAGCAAACAGG